ensembl:snRNA U6 U6 spliceosomal RNA
GUGCUCACUUCAGCGGCACAUAUACUAAAACUGGAACAAUAUAGAGAAGAUUAGCAUGGCCCCUGUGCAAGGAUGACCUGCAAAUUCGUGAAGCAUUCCAUAUUAAG